UCAGGACGAACGCUGGCGGCGUGCUUAACACAUGCAAGUCGAGCGAUGAAGCUCUUCGGAAGUGGAUUAGCGGCGGACGGGUGAGUAACACGUGGGUAACCUGCCUCAUAGAGGGGAAUAGCCUUCCGAAAGGAAGAUUAAUACCGCAUAAGAUUGUAAUAUUGCAUGAUAUAGCAAUUAAAGGAGUAAUCCGCUAUGAGAUGGACCCGCGUCGCAUUAGCUAGUUGGUGAGGUAACGGCUCACCAAGGCGACGAUGCGUAGCCGACCUGAGAGGGUGAUCGGCCACAUUGGGACUGAGACACGGCCCAGACUCCUACGGGAGGCAGCAGUGGGGAAUAUUGCACAAUGGGGGGAAACCCUGAUGCAAGGCAACGCCGCGUGAGUGAUGACGGUCUUCGGAUUGUAAAGCUCUGUCUUCAGGGACGAUAAUGACGGUACCUGAGGAGGAAGCCACGGCUAACUACGUGCCAGCCGCCGC
rnacentral:rRNA from 1 species